rnacentral:lncRNA from 1 species
CGCAGAAGAGACCUGUAGAGCCCCACUGGGGUGCUUCCUGCCCAAUCCCUCCUUCCCUCCCACCCUCCACAGGUGUCAGACCCGUGUCUCAGUCAGAAGACUUUCCCUGCCGACGUAUGCUCCCUCUAAUUCCACCUUGACAUUUGUUUCCCAGAAGUCUGGAACUGGCGCGGGGGCUUUGGAAGUAGCAAGUAGCAAUACAGUAGCAGCAAUGAGUGAUGGAAGCUGAUAGAAAAUGCAGUCACUUUGGUUAGCGGUUGGCCUGCACGAGAUGGCGUGGGCAUGUCAAUCUGAGGUCUCUGCCUCUGGUAGACAAGAUUUCUAUGCAUGAAAUAGAGUCCUGUUGCAGCCUGAGACCGAAAGUGCUGGCAGGGUUAAAGAAAUCAGGGCUGCAAAUCAACUGGGAUCUGCUAUAUUCACAGGACGUUGGAGUUUGGAUCUUGCUCAUGGCUGGCGAAGUGUUUAGAUCCUUUUGGAUCACUCCAACCCCAGCCGCCAGCGAUCAAGGCUGCCUCUUCUCUGGGAUGUCAUCCUUGGCUGGCAGGAGCCAGUUUGCUCCAGGUUUUUGCUGUCCUGCCCCUGCCCCCAUGACUGAUGCAGAGGUCCUUCCAGAAGAGCACUCCCCAUCAACCCGCGGGCAGCUGAAUUCCCACCUCAGACUCUGCUCCAAGGGCGCCGUGUCUACGGAGGCGACGCUGAGGAUGGCUUAUCAGGUUGGGUCACUCACCCCACCACGAGGACCUGACCUUAAAUUCUCGGUGCAUCCUAAGUGUGACCCAGAGACCGCCUGCGUCAGAAGCACCUAGAAUGCUGUGGAAGCACCUUCAAUGCAGAUUCCUGGGCCCAACCCUGGUUCCACUGAAUCGGGGUCAGCUGGUGGGCCCAGGAAUUGGCAUUUUCAACAGCUUCCAAUUGUACACCAGAAUACUCAAGCUUGUGACUCCCCUGCUCACUGUUUUCUUCAUCCUUUCUCACUUCCUGCUGAGUACAUAUGUAUUUUACUACUUUUAGAGAUACUUUUACAAUAAAGGCAG